UACGUAGGGUGCGAGCGUUAAUCGGAAUUACUGGGCGUAAAGGGUGCGCAGGCGGUUCUGCAAGUCAGGCGUGAAAGCCCCGGGCUUAACCUGGGAAUGGCGCUUGAAACUACAGGACUGGAGUAUGGCAGAGGGAGGUGGAAUUCCACGUGUAGCGGUGAAAUGCGUAGAGAUGUGGAGGAACACCGAUGGCGAAGGCAGCCUCCUGGGCCAAUACUGACGCUGAGAAGCGAAAGCAUGGGGAGCGAACAGG
rnacentral:rRNA from 1 species